CUGACUUUUAGACACUUAAGGGCAGAGUCUGUUUCUUUAUAUUUGUGUUCGCUCUGCUUCUCCACUGCUGUGGAAUUUUUCCUGGCAGAUUCUACAUGUGAAGGGAAUGUGGCUGAAAGACUGCAAGAGUGAACAUGGGUAUGGGAAUAGAGGUGCCAUGUAUGUCCCAUCAUCCUAAACUCAGUGAAUAAGUGAAAGAGAAUGAAUGAAACUGCUGGUGAUGCUCUCUUCCCUACAUGCAAAUGCAUUCAGUAUGGUGUGGGGAUGUGACCUGAGAGAUCUUUGGGAUGAAUAUGAAAAAUGCAGUGCACCACAUACAAUAUGGACUGGUUUCCUCUGGCCAAAUCAGCAGUUCUGACUGUGAGAUGAGAUGGCCUGGGGAAGAGAGGCCGACAGAGGGAACAAUAAUAGACUUUGAAAG